UACGGGGGGGCAAGCGUUGUUCGGAAUUACUGGGCGUAAAGGGCGCGUAGGCGGCCUGCUAAGUCGGACGUGAAAUCCCCGGGCUCAACCCGGGAACUGCGUCCGAGACUGGCAGGCUCGAAUCCGGGAGAGGGAUGUGGAAUUCCAGGUGUAGCGGUGAAAUGCGUAGAUAUCUGGAGGAACACCGGUGGCGAAGGCGGCAUCCUGGACCGGUAUUGACGCUGAGGCGCGAAAGCCAGGGGAGCAAACGGG
rnacentral:rRNA from 1 species